rnacentral:tRNA from 1 species
GCCGAAGUGGUGGAAUUGGUAGACACGUCGGUCUCAAAAACCGAUGCCUUCGGGCGUGCCGGUUCGAUUCCGGCCUUCGGUACCA